AGAUGCAUCUGUGUGGUAAAGAAAUCCACUACUGAUGAGAUACGAAAUGCUGAUCUCCAUCCAGCCCAAGGCAGGUCAGAUGAAAACGUGCCACUGGUCGGGGAGGUCUCUGAAGCACACGCUACAAAAGAUGCAUCUGGUGUGGUAAAGAAAUCCACUACUGAUGAGAUACGAAAUGCUGAUCUCCAUCCAGCCCAAGGUAAUAAUAUUUCUAGUAACUGGAAAGAAAACGGCGCUUGGUUAGCUCAGUGGGUAGAGCAGGCAGCUGCAGCGGCCCGGGUUCGAAUCCGACCUGUGGCCGUUUGCUGCGUCUCUCUCUCUCUCUCUCUCCUCUCUGUCUAUCUCUAUAUCUCUCUCUCUCAGUCUCUAUCUCUGUCUCUCUCUCUCUUGGUCUCUCUCUCUAGCUGUCACUAUCAUAAAGGCAAUAAGUAACCUUACUGUAGUGAAUGGUUCUUCCACUGUGUUGUUGUCCUGCAUCGUUAUAUUGAAGUAUUGUAUAUUAUGUGGGUCAUGUAAGUUACAGCGGCUAAGACGGUAGAGAAGCUGUUGUAUUGGUUAAACAAACGUAUGUUCAUAUUUUUAAAGAAUAUUUCUUACAUCUUUUUUUAUUCAGGGUCAUCAAAGAAAAGGUAAAGGAAAUGGAGAGAUGAAGAAAUUCAGGCCGUGGAGAAAACACUGUUGGUCUAUAUCCAGUCGGGGAAGGUUCCUGGAAAAGCAGAGUGUCUCAAAUGCAUUGAGACUUCUCCACUGGCACUUAGAGGGAGGAGGUGGGAGGGUGUGAAAUUUUAUGUAAAAAAUCGUAUUGCUGCUUUAAGGCGAGACUCUGUUAAAGGAAAGAGGUAAGCUGACAUUUGUUGCUGUCUUAAAAGAUUACACGGGUCUUUUUUUUUGUUGGAGUAAGUUUUACCUGUGGUCUUCUGUAGUUAUGUUUGAAAGCGCUGAGGUUUUGUUUAAAUUUUAAAUGUUAAAGUUUUAUAUCUGAAAAAUAAUGUAAUUUUUAUUUAAAUUGAGCGCUUUUGUACUGUUGGCAUUGGUCUAAAACAGAAAUAAACUGG